AAGUAACAAUAAGUUACAAGUGAUCAAAGAGAUUAGUAAAAUUUAACAAUUUAUAAUCUCCCGAUAAUGUCAAGAACGGCCGGCGACAAGUCAAGUGAUCCGAAUAAGCGCUGCCGGCGCCAAGCGAAUAAAUAUUUACGAAUCGUGCGGACGGCAAAGUGUUAAAAUCAAUUUUAAGGAGAUGAUCC
rnacentral:lncRNA from 1 species